CGAAAAGGGAAUAGGUGCCGGCGUGCGCGUUGCAUCUUGGGAAAUGUAGUCCAAAGGCCCGAGGACCGCCAUCUCCCAAGAAGGGAGGGGCGGAGAGUACGUUAAUUUUCGCCUUGGAACAAAAGAACCGUUCCCCCUCCUCGCGACGUUUCGGCCACGCCGCGCGCGACUUCGGCGGCUUUGCUCGCGCCCAUUGCAUGCUGGGAACGGCAGUUCGCCAGACCGGCUACGUCGGCGCGAGAUGACGGAAUUCACGUGGCAUGCGCGAGAGACGUCCGGACCAACUAAGAACCCAAACUGAAGCCCUUGGAUUUCUCACCGGUUUGCGCUCUCGCGCAAGCUCGGGCUGCUCGCGGACCGGCCUCCUUCGUCCGGCUUUUCCCUACGUAGAAAGUUUAAGCUUACUGUUGGCAGGUCCCCGGGCAACCAGUGUGUGAGAUGGGACGGACGUCGAAGGACAAGCGGGAUGUCUACUACCGCCUAGCCAAGGAGAAUGGCUGGCGUGCCCGCAGUGCCUUCAAACUGCUACAACUUGACGAGGAAUUCCAGCUCUUCCAAGGCGUGACGCGGGCAGUUGACCUGUGCGCGGCCCCGGGCAGCUGGAGCCAGGUGCUGAGCCAGAAGAUUGGGGGCCAGGGGUCCGGCCACGUGGUGGCUGUGGACCUUCAGGCUAUGGCUCCACUGCCAGGUGUGUUACAGAUCCAAGGGGAUAUCACCCAGCUGUCCACUGCCAAGGAGAUCAUCCAGCACUUUGAGGGCUGCCCCGCGGACCUCGUAGUGUGUGACGGGGCUCCCGAUGUAACCGGCCUCCACGAUGUUGAUGAGUAUAUGCAGGCCCAGCUCCUCCUAGCCGCUCUGAACAUCGCCACACACGUCUUGAAGCCAGGGGGCUGCUUUGUGGCCAAGAUCUUCCGAGGCCGGGAUGUGACGCUGAUCUACAGCCAGCUGCGUGUCUUCUUCUCCAGCGUGCUCUGUGCCAAGCCCAGGAGCAGCCGGAACUCCAGCAUCGAGGCUUUCGCUGUCUGUAAGGGUUAUGACCCCCCUGCGGGUUUCCUGCCAGACCUGACCAAACCCCUGCUGGACCACUCUUACGAUCCAGAUUUCAACCAAUUGGAUGGGCCUACCCGCACCAUUGUGCCAUUUGUGACCUGCGGGGACCUGAGCGCCUAUGAUUCGGACCGCAGCUACCCACUGGACCUAGAGGACGGCUCAGAGUACAAGUACACCCCACCCACGCAGCCCCCCAUCUCACCACCGUACCAGGAGGCCUGCACAUUGAAGAAGAAGGGGCAGCUAGCCAAGGAGACCCGCCCGCAGGACUGCUCCGUCAGCACAGCGGCCGUGUUGCCCCAGUCCCUGGCUGCCCCACAGUGCCACACCCUGCUGGCCUCUGAGGUCUGGAGACCCGGUCCCAGGGCCCUCCGUGCCUUUUCUCUGCACCCACAGCGACCCCCUCCUCAUGUGCCUCUUUCUGCCCCAAAUCACUGGUUUCUGGGGCAAAAUUCUCUUCCCUGCCUCCCAAUGACCGUAAAAAUCAGUGGGUAAAAGCAGGCAUAGUGAACAGAAGAGCUUAGCCAAGUAUCUGAGUCCCUUUUCUUUUUCUUGGGUAGGUGGAAGACAGUGAAAUGAAUUGUUCGCCUUGACACGUUAAGCUGGCAAUCUGAUAAGGACUUGGAAGCUCUUCGCUGUCAGGAAAACCAAGAACUUGAGUUGAUGAACUUGUUUUCAAGUAGCUCAUCAACGGGUCCUGAACACACAAGCGCCGAGCAGGAACCUGCAACAACCAGCAGAAACACAGCGAGGAAAGAAACAUCUCGGACUGUCCAUCUGCGCCGCCGAGGGGGGUCUUGCCUCCUCUCUAAAUCUUUCCAGCGGUGUCCUCCUGAUUCUGUUCACACUUUACCCUGAAAGCAGGGAUUCUUAACCUGAUAGAAGUCAGGGCUAUCUGUGAACUUGUUGCAGGGAAAUAACUACGUUUUUAUUGAUUGAACAGAAAUUUUAGCUCUAUUCCUGAACCUCAAUGCUGGCAGCGCAUCACAACAGUGAAAGCAGUGCCUGCAACUUUCCCACCAAUAUGGGUCACGGUUACUUUUUUUUUUUUCUUUUUAACGUUAUGUUACAGUCAUUGUGGGUGUCUUAUAAAACAUUGUUCACAUUGGUCACUACUUUGAGAUAAGAUCUUAUAAUUUGAUAUACUCCUUUUAAAAAGUUCAUAUAUUACAGCA